GACGAACGCUGGCGGAGUGCUUAACACAUGCAAGUCGAACGGAAAGGCUCCAGCUUGCUGGAGUACUCGAGUGGCGAACGGGUGAGUAACACGUGGGUGAUCUGCCCUGCACUUCGGGAUAAGCCUGGGAAACUGGGUCUAAUACCGGAUAGGACCGCACUUUGGUGGGUGUGGUGGAAAGGUUUUUCUGGUGUGGGAUGAGCUCGCGGCCUAUCAGUUUGUUGGUGGGGUAAUGGCCUACCAAGACGGCGACGGGUAGCCGGCCUGAGAGGGUGGACGGUCACAAUGGGACUGAGAGACGGCCCAGAAUCCUACGGGAGGCAACAGUGGGGAAUAUUGCCCAAUGGGGGAAACCCUGAUGCGGCGGCGCCCCGUGGGGGAGGAAGGGCUGCGGGUUGAAAACGCCUUUCGCUGGGGACGAAGCUUUUUGUGACGGUACCUGGAGAAGAAGCACCGGCUAACUACGUG
rnacentral:rRNA from 1 species